AGUAGGUCAAGAUACUAAGGGUCCACGGUGGAUGCCCUGGCACUGGAGCCGAUGAAGGACGCGAUUACCUGCGAAAAGCCCCGACGAGCUGGAGAUACGCGUUGACUCGGGGAUGUCCGAAUGGGGAAACCCACCUCGCAAGAGGUACUCCGUAGAGGAGAGGGAACUCAGGGAACUGAAACAUCUCAGUACCUGA
rnacentral:rRNA from 1 species